UACGUAGGUGACAAGCGUUGUCCGGAUUUACUGGGUGUAAAGGGCGCGUAGGCGGGAUAGCAAGUCAGUCGUGAAAUGCCGAGGCUUAACCUCGGAGCUGCGAUUGAAACUGUUAUUCUUGAGUAUCGGAGAGGAAAGCGGAAUUCCUAGUGUAGCGGUGAAAUGCGUAGAUAUUAGGAGGAACACCAGUGGCGAAAGCGGCUCUCUGGUCUGUAACUGACGCUGAGGUUCGAAAGCGUGGGUAGCAAACAGG
rnacentral:rRNA from 1 species